CAGCCGCCGCGGGAAUACGUAGGGUGCAAGCGUUAAUCGGAAUUACUGGGCGUAAAGCGUGCGCAGGCGGUUUGUUAAGACAGAUGUGGAAUCCCCGGGCUCAACCUGGGAACUGCAUUUGUGACUGGCAAGCUAGAGUGUGGCAGAGGGGGGUGGAAUUCCGCGUGUAGCAGUGAAAUGCGUAGAUAUGCGGAGGAACACCGAUGGCGAAGGCAGCCCCCUGGGCCAACACUGACGCUCAUGCACGAAAGCGUGGGGAGCAAACAGGAUUAGAUACCCCCGUAGUCCCUGUCUCUUAUAA
rnacentral:rRNA from 1 species